UCUGCCUUCCAAGUGCUGGGAUUACAGGUUUGUGCCACCGAGGCCUGGCUCUGUUUCUAUUUUUAUGUUACUUCAAAUUGACAUCUGACCUAGGGCAAAGGCAGCUGGAAACUUCCUUUUGGACUUAUCUUUUUUUGUUUUGUGUUUAUGUUUCACAUAGUAGAAAACUGCUAGGCAGCUUAAUUUAGAUACAAGGAACCAGAUAACAGAAAACUAACCUCCCCUGUGCACUCCCAGCAUGCCUUUCCUCCUCUGAGCACAGGCCUGAUUUUCACUUACAAAGUUAACUUUCCUACUCAAUAAAGUAUGGUUAGAGAAAGGAUGGUUUAAAAAAAAAAAAGUGAUGUAUGUUUUUCCACUCUAAAGGAAAAGGUAAAUCAUAGAAUGGGGGUCUGGAACAAGAAUCCCCACAGCUUGGCCCAUUUCACUGUAUCCCCAGGCUCGCUCACACUCAGGUAAGGGGCCUGGGCUUCUCUCCUUUCUUCAACUGCAGCCCCCAUGUUCUUAUGUGAUGUUCAGGAACAGGAACUUGGGAGUCUACAAAUGGUUAAAUGAACCUUUGGCUAGAAGUGGCUUGUCUUCAAGCUGAAGGAAGCUUUGUCUAUUGGCGUCUGUCUUCUUUGGGAAGGAAUCUGUACCAGCCCCCAGCAGAGGGAUGGUUUUCUUACUGGCUCUAGGUUAAGGAGAAGCCUUAGAUGACAUGUGGAGAAAUAACACCAAUGGUAACACCUUCCACCUCUACCUUCUGUCUCUCUGGAGUCCCACUAAAUGUUCUGAUCCCUAUCGUUUUCAUGCUUUGCUUUGGAGCCAGCCAGCAAAGGAGCUCGCUGGCUUGGAUGUUCAUGGGUGGUGGGGGUCAAUAGUCUGAGGAGGGGAAGGUCUGGAAAGCAGUUUUCCUUGGUAGAAUCUGGGGCUCAGCUGAAACCUGCAUGCCCAGAAGAAGACCAGGCACCCCUCCCCUCCCUUUUUUUUUCUGAUCCUGAGGUGGACACUCCUAGAUCAGUAGGAGCUCCCAUUUUGGAUUCAUUAGGAAAUGGUUUAUAAAGCCCAUGCCUGAGGGUUGAAGAAGAGAAAUCGCAGUAUUUAUUUUCCUGGAGUAUAUGAAUCUGAUGAAAAUAUUCUGUGGGAGCCUGUCAAAGAGACACGUAGGAACAUCCUCCUCCUCCAGCUGCUGCUGCUGCUGCUGCUGAGAGGAGUUAUUUUGCAAAUUGGUUUUCUCUUUGGACUGCUAAGAUUUUCUCCCAUCUUGCUGGCACAUUUUUAUUCUCUUCCUCACAUUUCAAUGUGUGUUUUUAAAUAUGUGCGUGUGGGUCAUUUUGCUUAGUAUCUGUAGCGCUUCCUUUUCUCCCGUCAAGAUUUUGUGUCUCUGCCUAAGACUCAGGGAUUUCUGCGCAUGCUUGGCCCGCUUGUGCUGCCUUCUUCCUGGCUGGUCUUAAGGUCCAUGCUCCUCUGACCUCCUCCUACUGUGGGCAGUCUCCUGAAGGGCGCAUCUGGGUAGGUUUGAUACAAAGUUUUAAGCUUGCCCCAGGUUUCAAGACUGUUUCUCUGGUAAUGCUCCCUGCCUGUUAACACGGACCGACCGAGUCUCUGCUCUCUGGACUGAUUUAUGGUUGUAUUAGGGAAAACUCUACCUGGGAUAUAAAAUACAGUGUCCCAUGCGUGGGCCUGAUCUUAGGCGCUAUCGGUGAUUGCAAGUGCGUUUUAUAACCCUGUGCCAAAUCGAAAUCAAGGUGAUUUGUGCAUCAAUCUCCCGGAUAAAAUCAGGGCAUGCUCUAUUGCAGUCUGACCUUCCUAGUGCCUUUUUUGGUAUGGCUUGCCCAUGCGCCUUGGACAAUUGCCAGAACUGUAUCACCAGCUGUAUCGAAAGGCUUAACUGCUCGCCCUGGAGUCUCCCCAGAAGAGGAGGCUCCUGAGGGCUUUGUAGCAUGAAGAUGCUGUAGGCAACUCCUUGGGCCUUCUCAUACAAGCUUUCAAAGCAACCCUGACCUCCCCUGCUAUUCGAAGAAAUGGACUCUACGGCCAGCUGGCAGAACCGUGUCCCAGAGAAAGCAGGCACACCACAGGCUCCCUCUGCCUUGUACAUAACCCCAAGAACUCGGCUGGUGUCGGCCAGAGAAGUCAUCCACUUUUAAAAUGAGCAGGGACAAGAAAAUUGCUUCUUUCACUCUCGCCGCUGCCACUGUCAACCGUUGGUCCUUCUUGUAGUUGUCAGGACUUUGAGAAACACCCGAGUCCCUCUGUCAAGUUCCGGCUCUAGCUGCGCUCUCCAUGAUACAGUACAAGUCUGGCAGGGUGACAGCAGUUUCGAACAGAUUGGUGGAAAUGAUAGAUUUUGGGGAAGUGAAGUCUCUUCGUGCUGCUGCUGGUCGGAGCAGGUAUUUGGGAUAAAUAUUUUUAAGUUAGGCUUUUGUAACUAUAAUCUGAGUUUCUCAACUUAUAUUUAACCCAAACUUAUUUUUAAGGUAAUUUCACCUCUUGAUUUCAUAGCCUUUCAUAGCCGAGGGAGGAGUUCAGUUGUCUCUACAAGUGCCACGGCCUGCUUUGUGAAACCCCUUUAAGAUAUGCUAAUGGAUGGGAUGAUUAUUAAGAUAAAUGCCUUGUGUAGGAAACCAGACUUAAUUAUAAUAUCUACAAUCAGUCACCGGUCAGCCUAGAAGUUAUAAUUUAUUGUUCUCUAAUUUGCCUUUAUUACCAAAGAUAUUUAACUUAAAGGGAUUAUUUAAAAAAAAAAAAGUCUGAUUUGAAUGGUGAGCGUUUAGCAAACUUAAAAACUGUUUCUUUCAAACUUUUAUAAACUCCUCAUGUCUAAUUUUACGAACUAAUAUACCAGCAUGAGGGAGUCAUGUUUGUACUUGUUGUUUUAAAAAAUGGGAAAACUACUUCGUCAGAAGAAGUGAUGAAGGCUUUUCUUCCAGACCCACAUUUUUGGAACGCCAGGUCCUGACUCUGGGAUCCUGUUUAGAGCAAUUCAGAGAGAAGGCCAAACCCUCUUCUGUGGCGUCAUCUUUGGUCAGGGUACUGGUGUGGCCUUCCCUACUGCCAAGGAGAAAUACCUAGGACACGGGAAGACUUUAAGGCCGAGACUUCAGCUUACUCGAGGCUGCUGGUCCAGACCACCAUCAACUAUGCAUCAGGCCCUGAGUGUCCAGGGCUUUGCUCUGAAGUUCCACAGAGCAGCAAGAAGACACACAACUGGAGCUUUCUUUCCCUUGUAUUAUUUUCUUCUCUGCACACCUGCAACGUACUCAGGACCCAACUCUGCACAGCGCUGUAGGGACGAGUUCUGCUAACCAGAAAUCCCCUAUAGAAGAUCACAGAUUUGUCCAUUUUUGCCUUCAGCUCGUCAAUUGAUUUGAUAAUUGCCUGGGAGACAUACACAGGCAUACAGACACACAAAGCAAAUGUCGGGCCACAGGCUUUUUUCCUCGACAGUGGGAUGAAGAUGUUUUACUUACUGGAACUCAGAUGUCACCUGGAAGAAUAAGAGGAGGUACUGGGGAGAAAAAGAGAAAGGAAUGGAGACGGCAUGGUGUGGGAGGCAGGUGGUCCCCCUUGGUUACCAAGUGUGAUGACUCUCCCGAAUAUGACAAUAAAUCACGGCAGGAAUCAAUCUGUCGGGAGGCUACUGCUCCAUGCUGAUAAUGCAUCAAUCAAUAUUUAAUGUUUACACUUUAAUUAAUCCACACACGGGAAGCAUUCUUUCAGUGACAAAAAUAAAGGGAUGAGAAAUAAAACACCUUUUAUAUCAAGGA